rnacentral:rRNA from 1 species
CACCGGCAGCUCUAGUGGUAGCCAUUUUUAUUGGGCCUAAAGCGUUCGUAGCCGGUUUAAUAAGUCUCUGGUGAAAUCCUACAGCUUAACUGUAGGAAUUGCUGGAGAUACUAUUAGACUUGAGGUCGGGAGAGGUUAGAGGUACUCCCAGGGUAGGGGUGAAAUCCUGUAAUCCUGGGAGGACCACCUGUGGCGAAGGCGUCUAACUGGAACGAACCUGACGGUGAGGGACGAAAGCUAGGGGCGCGAACCGG